rnacentral:lncRNA from 12 species
AUGGACGUGGGGGUGCCCAGGGGCCGGGAUGGAUGGGUGCAGGGUGUGCCCAGGGGCUGGGGCAGAUGGGUGCGGGCGGUGCCCAGGGGCCAGGAUGGAUGGGCGCCGGGGUGCCCAGGGGCCGGGAUGGAUGGGCACCAGUGUGCCCAGGGGCCAGGGCGGAGCUGGUCCUCAAGCGUCUCCCCGCUGCACGGCCUCCGCGCUUCCCCGGCGUCCUCACACCCCCGAGGCUCUGUCCCCCGCCUGUUCCAACCGAUUGUAUCAUCGCUACUUCUGGGUUGGUCUCAAAUGAUUUUUCUCCUCAUUCCAGGUCAUAUUUUCCCGCUUCUCUGCAAGUCUGAGGAGUUUGGACCGGAAGCAGGCGCUGUCGGCUUGGGCCUGCGGGUGCUGGCACCCUGUUCCCCCAGGGACGCUGCUGCACGCUCCGCCCCGGGAGGCGGUGAAGCUACAGGACACGCUGGGACCCUUCGAGUCUUGCUGGUGCCCGAGCGGCGCGGCCUGCCGAGCCGAGCCCCUGAGCGCCCCACCCGACGCCCCGGGACUGGCGUGUGGGUGCUGGGCGCCGACCCCUCCGGCUCUCCCAGGGGGUUCUCUCUCCCGUCUGGGCGGUUUCUCCACAUGCAUGCCCUUACCGGUGCCCAGCGGGGCACUAGAGGGGCCUCUGCGCGUCUGCAGAAGGGGCCGUCUUUGCAGGGGGGACGGGGGCUCCCCCGGGGCUCAUCCGCCGAGUCUGCCGCCCUGUGCCCGUGGCCUGGAGCCCGCCUCGGCCCCCCAUCCCAAGCCGUUUUCCGGGAUCACUGUCCUUUGAGCCCUGAUGCCCAGUAUCUUGAAAACCCUUGUUUCUAUAGUCUGGUUUUUCCAGUUGUCCAGGCAGGGCCGGAACCGAAGUCUUACUUGCCAUGUUACAGGUUUGGAUUUAUCCCGAAGCUUGUGGAGGCCCCAGGAGCGAGAGGCCCGGUCUCUCAGCCCGAGGCCAUGCUACUAGAUCCAAAUAGAACAUUUUCUUUCUCUCCAGAGCAGACCUGUGGUUCCUAG